UGGAGGAUUGAGAAGGUUUGGCAGCUGACACUGUGCUGUUUUAACUGGUUACAACCUCCUACAUUGAAAAACAGUUCAGGAUCAGUGGUGAGCUCCAUGUGCUUGCAGGGAGCAGUGCUGCUUCUGUAUACAUGUC